UGACUUUUCUACGCUGUUUUCAAAUAGCUCCGGCGUGGCGGAACACUUGGCGGCUUCUUGUGACUUGCGAACACAAACACGUGGCAGGUUUUGUCGGAUAAUUUGCAGAAAUUCACUUCGAAAUUCGUUCAAGUAAAAUUCGGACUGAAAUUCGAUGUAACUUGCGACUGAUUGACAAGCGUUGCUGUGUUUACUUUACAUGUUAAUGCAUUUUUUAGUAUUACUGCAUUCCUUAACCUCGCCCUUAAUAUGAAAGCCAUUUCUAUUUUCUAGACACGCACCUCGCAAGGAAGCUUUAUUGACUAUAUACUAAAACAAAUUGUUUUGAGUUCAAUUCACAUAGCAGUCUCUUAAUUCGAGCAACAGUUUAAUAACUAUUAUUUUUAACACUUGAAUAAUUCAAACUUAUAUAUACGAACGAAAACUGCAAACUAUAUAAAUAAAGCGUGUCAAUUUUCGACUCAAUCUCAAUCAACAUGCAGGAUACGCUGUUACAGCGAGUUAGUUUUUGGUGGCCAUGCAUGCAAAAGUGGGCCGCUUAUUUUGCUUACGAGUUACGUGGACGUAUAAUUAUUGCUGUUACAUAAACGUUCCGGUGUUCAAGAGCUACAUAUAGCUGAUAAAAAUUGCGUGCUCAUUAUAAUCGCCGAUCACAUAGCUUUAUCACAGUCUCAAACCUUCAGACAAACAUAUCCGCAUCCCUCUCCCCCCCUUCGGACAUCCUAAGACAUUUUUCCUCCCUCCCCCUUCGGACAGCAAAAAUUUCCUCCGUGGGGGGGGGGGGGUAUGGAUCUUUUCUGGAACGACCCGAUGCCGAACGACUUUAUUGUUAAGGGGAGAGUGUUGGUAUGACUGUACAGUAUAUUCGUAUUCAACAUACUUAUUUAAUAUAUGCACCAUUUGUACCAGUUUUAUAGUUAACCCUCAGAUGUGUAAUGGCUUCCCUUCCACAUGCACUGGGAGACCGACAGACCUACCAAAACAAGACAGGCAACCAAGGAGACCGGCAGACCCACCAAAACAAGACAGGCAAGCAUGUAAGUUUACUGAUAUUUUUCUUUGUGAUAUAAGUUAACACAUUGCGCCCUGAUGUGCCCUGCUUUAUUAUUUUACUCUGUCUAACGCCAGAUGAUUUACUCAUCAAGGGCAGAGCUCUGGUGCUUAAUGGAUUAACUGGCCUAUCUGCCCAUGUGUCUAGUUAAUCCAUUGAGUUGCAUUGCACCGAUGUGCCUUGCUUUAUUAUUUUACUCUGUCUACUGCCAGACAAUUUACUCAUCAAGGGGAGAGCUCUGGCAUUUAAUAGGUACAGUAACUUAACUGGCCUAUCUGGCCAUAUGUCUAAUAAUCUAGUUAAUCCAUUCAGUUGCAUUGUGCCAAUGCGCCCUGCUUUAAGUAUUAUUUUACUCUGUCUAACGAUUUAGUCGUAUGACAUGUGGACAGUGACUGACUGAAACAGUACAGGCUUGACUGCAGUCACUGACAAGAAGAAAAUUCAGAUCUCACAAUGUAUAUUAAUUUUACUGUAUAAACCAUAUAAUAUAAACCAUAUAAUUUCUAAACCAUUUAUAUAUUUCAUUUAUAUAUUUCUAAACCAUUUAUAAACCAUAUAAACCAUAUAAUUUCUUUUAUUAGUCCAUGCUGACAGCAAAUGCCUUAACUGAGGUGGAUAGGCCCAAGAAUUUUUCGAAAUUAACUAAGAAUGCAAGAAAAAGAUUCAAUGUGAACUGGAGAAGCAGGAGAACUGUUAAGAGAACACAAACAUACAGUAUUUGUUUUAAUAUUUUAGUAAUGAUAUUAUAUGCAUUUCUUAAUUUUAAUCUUUGGUCUUGUCCCUUCAUGGUGUUACUGGUAACCCACCCCUAAUUUUUUAUUUCUGCAUGCUUUUAGUUGAGUAAUGCAUAUACAGGGUGUAUCCAAAAAUGUCCCAAAUGGAUAAUUUCCUCAAAAUCACACAAAAUUUGGGAUAUUUUUUGUAACCGAGAGUAAAUAUACUGUAUGUAUAUUGUAAUUAAGUUUUUAUUAUUUUGUAAUUUGUAUAUUUCGAAUAAACUAGUGUCUGAUGUGGUAUAUCAAACCUGCAUAGGACGUAACUUUCUUAUUUAGGUAGAUUUUUCUAAGGGGCAGUUCAUAUGAUCCCGCUUACACAAGAUUAAACGAGCGUGCAAUGAUUUUGAGAUAUUGAAAUAAG
rnacentral:lncRNA from 1 species